UCUACCAGCAUCCAUGGUGAUCGUCUUCAGAGUCAGCGUGAGCAAGCGCUUCGUGACUUCAAAAAUGUUAUUAGGAAUAUUCUCGUGGCGACUAAUGUUGCUGUCCGUGGUGAAGAUAUUGCCGUCGUCAACUAUGUCGUAAAUUAUGACUUACCGACUGAUAUUGAAGAGUAUGUUCAUCGUGGUGGUCGAACUGGUCGCGUGGGAAAUGUUGGAAAAUCAAUAAGGUUCUUUGACGAUGAAAGAGAUGACCCUAACGCUGGAAAGUUUGUGUCUUUGUUAACUAGGGUAAGAACCUACUCCAGUUUGACAUCUAAUUAUAUUUCUCUGCCCUUGUGUUCGUAAUUAAUAAUCCUACGUAUGUUUUUUGUUAAUCCAACGCCGAUGUACCGCCAUUCAUGCAAGCGAUGGUCCCAGGCGUGAGUGGAAUGGGUUACGACUUUAGCGCCCCUUCGACUCAAUGGGGGUUUUGCUAGUCGAGAUAUGCGCCGAUUCGGCGAUAAACCUGGAUUUGCUGCCUUGCCUACUGAAGUUGACGAGAGUUGGGAUUAACUCAAUGUCGUUCACAUGGUUGUCUUAUUUUGGCGUAAUCCAAAACCAAAAUUCUUGUCCAAGAACAUCUUGGAACUUGUAAUGUUUGUUUGAAAAAUUUGAUUACGUGUUUAUUUUGCUAAUCCAGAUACCUGACUACAGAACGAAUUAAUUUUUGUGAAGAAAACAGUCAAUUGUAAAAUUUUCUAUUUAUACUUUUCUAUUUA